CCCUUAGAUGCUCUGGGCCGCACGCGCGCUACACUGACCAGUGCAACAAGCAUCCGUCCUUGGCCGACAGGCCCGGGCAAUCUUUGAACGCUGGUCGUGAUGGGGAUAGACUUUUGCAAUUUUUGGUCUUCAACGAGGAAUUCCUAGUAAACGCAAGUCAUCAACUUGCAUUGAUUACGUCCCUGCCCUUUGUACACACCGCCCGUCGCACCUACCGAUUGAAUGGUCCGGUGAAGCCUCCGGAUUGGCGCGCACCUCGGUGCCGCCGAGAAGUUGGCUAAACCUUACCAUUUAGAGGAAGGUGAAGUCGUAACA
rnacentral:rRNA from 1 species